rnacentral:misc_RNA from 1 species
UUUCCGUAGGUGAACCUGCGGAAGGAUCAUUAACGAAUGAAGUUGAGCGGGGUUGCUGCUGGCCUCCGGGCAUGUGCACGCCUCGUUCGUCCAACCUUCUACACCACUGUGCACUUUCUCAUGGGUCGGGUUCUGCGCCUUCAAUGGCUGCGUCCCUGCCUGUGUGUCUACACAUACACAUGUUUGUUAUAGAAUGUCUACUGUGCAUGAAUGCAUAUAAUACAACUUUCAGCAACGGAUCUCUUGGCUCUCGCAUCGAUGAAGAACGCAGC